GGCUCAGGAUGAACGCUAGCUACAGGCUUAACACAUGCAAGUCGAGGGGGAAACGACAUCGAAAGCUUGCUUUUGAUGGGCGUCGACCGGCGCACGGGUGAGUAACGCGUAUCCAACCUGCCCACCACUUGGGGAUAACCUUGCGAAAGUAAGACUAAUACCCAAUGAUAUCCCACGAAGGCAUCGGAAUGGGAUUAAAGAUUUAUCGGUGAUGGAUGGGGAUGCGUCUGAUUAGCUUGUUGGCGGGGUUAACGGCCCACCAAGGCAUCGAUCGGUAGGGGUUCUGAGAGGAAGGUCCCCCACAUUGGAACUGAGACACGGUCCAAACUCCUACGGGAGGCAGCAGUGAGGAAUAUUGGUCAAUGGAGGCAACUCUGAACCAGCCAAGUAGCGUGCAGGAUGACGGCCCUAUGGGUUGUAAACUGCUUUUAUGCGGGGAUAAACUGACUCACGUGUGGGUCAUUGCAGGUACCGCAUGAAUAAGGACCGGCUAAUUCCGUG
rnacentral:rRNA from 1 species